AUUGAACGCUGGCGGCAGGCCUAACACAUGCAAGUCGAGCGAGCGGCGGACGGGUGAGUAAUGUCUGGGAAACUGCCUGAUGGAGGGGGAUAACUACUGGAAACGGUAGCUAAUACCGCAUACUCUCGGAUGUGCCCAGAUGGGAUUAGCUGGUAGGUGGGGUAAUGGCUCACCUAGGCGACGAUCCCUAGCUGGUCUGAGAGGAUGACCAGCCACACUGGAACUGAGACACGGCCCAGACUCCUACGGGAGGCAGCAGUGGGGAAUAUUGCACAAUGGGCGCAAGCCUGAUGCAGCCAUGCCGCGUGUGUGAAGAAGGCCCUAGGGUUGUAAAGCACUUUAAGUUGGGAGGCGUUACCGACAGAAGAAGCACCGGCUAACUUCGUGCCAGCAGCCGCGGUAAUAC
rnacentral:rRNA from 1 species